rnacentral:lncRNA from 1 species
GUUUGAGCUCAGUGUGGGCAGCCUAGUGACUUCACAAGAUUGUAUCUCAAAAUAAAUAAAUAAAUAGGACUGUGGAUGUAGCUAAGUUUGAAGGCCUUGGGUUCAAUUCCAGGACUAAAUAAUAAUAUUUCAUUUGAAGCUUUCCUUUUGAAACAUCAGAUUUUUAACUAGUAUAGGUAAAACCUGUCUAGAUAUACUUUGCUUCUUCAAGUCCUUUUUGCAAAAGGCUGUUAUGAAUAAACAAAGACAUGACAUAGCUCCCUUUCUCUCUCUCUCUAUCUUGUGUGUGUGGUAUUGGGUCUUGUGCCGUAGUACAUUCUACACCCCUAGCUCUUUUUGGUUUUAGAGACAGGAUCGUGCUAAAUUGCCCAGGCUAGCCUCAAACUUGCUAACCUGCCUCCACCUGCUGAGAAUCUGGGAUUACAGACAUGGGCCACCACACCCACCUCCCUUCCUUCUUAAGAGACUGGGGCCUCCUGUCAAAAGGGAAGCUGACCCGCCCCUCAGUGGCAAUUCCAGACGGCAUCCUAACUUGGGCCUCACCUGUAACCACAGGCUCGUUAGCAGCAUUCUAGUAUCUGUCUAGCUCACUCUUGAGUCACGUGUUAGUUCUGUCUCCAUUACAGAGUUCCAUGAAGACCAGAUGAACUUUUAGAGGCAAAAAUGUGUCUAAAACAAGGGCCGGGGAUUUAGCUCAGUGGUACAGUACCUGCCUGGCAAGUGCGAGGUCCUGAGUUCCCUCCCCGGUACCAAAAAAAAAAAAGUAUCUAAAACUGCUGGGUGUAGCGGCGAGCACCAUCAAGCCCGGCUUUCUAUCCCAAUUUCUGACUCUGCCUAUGCCUUCCACUGACGAGCCUGAAAUGUUUUUUUCCUGAGAAAACACAACAAACCGAUCCCAUGGGGGAGUGAAAUCUCCAUCUCCUCUCAUCCCACCUGGUGAGAAAUAUAUGGAAGAAGUUGUAAUACCGUGACAUACUGAGACAGUCCAGACCCUUAAAGACAGGCUGGACAAUAACAGGACACCCAGAUCAGCUGUCCUUUCCCCCCUCAAAUCAUUACUUUUCAAAAAAUGAAGCUGAGCAUGGUUGGAAAUGCCUGUAAUCCCACCACUGGGGAGGCUGAAGCAGGAAGAUUGCUGGAAGUUUGAAGCUGGG